rnacentral:lncRNA from 1 species
GGAAUACCAAGUGGCCCUUAGAAAUUUCAUUUCUAGACAGUUACCAAUAGAAGAGAAUCAUAGUAAAUAGCCAAACAAUUUAUAGCUCCCACACAUUACAAAAAAACAUCCUAAUAAUUAACUCAGUAGUAUUUUCCAUUAAAUACCACUACCAUGCCAAAGAUGAAUGUCUUAUUAACAUGCAUUCUACACGACUAUGUAAAUCAAAACCUCAAAGGCAAUAAACAACAACUCUUACACAAUGCAAGAUCAACCACUAUUAAAUCUCGAAACACUCCCUCAAUCAAGGAUAUUUAUCUAUAGAGUUCUGCAACCAUCAAGAUCCACCAUAUACGACAUGUCAUGCAAUUAUCUCCAACACUAACUGAAGCUGCUAA